GCAACGUUUUUUUUCUUUUGCUUUUGAGGUGCCGGUACCUCACCACUCAAGCCAUCAGCACGCUGGUUCGGAGUGUUCCCUUCAGGAAGGAGAGUCCAUGUUCCAACUGCAGUCUGAUACUGGGAGCCAGAUAACCCCUGCAACAUGUGCUACUCUGCAAUCUCAUCCAGCAGAAGUUGAGCCUUUUUUUCUUUUCUUUUUUCAGUAAAAACACUUAUUAACAGCAAACAAAAAAUAAAACAUCUAAUUUGCUUUAGGUGUUCAAACAUGUUUGCAGGCAGUAAGUAACCUUGUACACUAGACUCUUCCCUCCUCUUUAUUAAUAUUAAAUACAAAAGACAAAAUGUAUAUUAGUAGACAAUUCUUAACUUCUAUAACUAUUAUAUAAAACGGUUUGUUAGCACCUCAAUCAAAGUAAACCAGACACUUAAUGAUACCUGUGCUACAUUUAGGAAACAUGUGUGUCUAACCUUAGGUUAUCUUGCAAAAAAAACUGGUCAGUUUUUACAGGAGUACCAUGUUGGAAGUGAGCUCCCAUAGACCUUACACUUCUGACCUCAUUACUAUUCAGAACUAACAGUGAGAAGACAAGUAAUACUACGUUCCCAGUGCAGUUCAUCCCUGCCGUUCAUAAAUGAUGUGCACGACCGGCGUUGGUGUGUGUGUUUAACAGCAGCAGUUUCCUUGAACUCCGCUCUCCUGCCACUUCUACACACACAUGCGUUUACUUCCUCCAGGGAGAUAGAGGGCCUCUGCUUUCUGUCAGAGCGUCUUCAGCAGCAGAACUCCGGGGCCUCUCCCUUGGUGGGAAACUGGCCCUUUCGCUUCACAACCGCCCUGCAGAUGAGAAGAAAAACAAGAGCAGAGGAAGGCACUGCAGCUCCCCCUCUGCUGCCGCCGUACACAUUUUCUUUAUCAUCUUAAUCCUUUACCCACGUCCUCUUCCUUUCUCCUCUAUUGUCUGCGGAGGCGAUCAAUAGCGUUAAUUGGCUCACUGAGUCACUGUUACAUUGAUUGCGGUCUCUAAUAAAGAGGUUAUUGAUUGGCACUUUGUUUAACACAGGCCCAUACACUGAGAGCUGCCCUCUAAUGCUACCAAGACAGUAACCUUUUCCUGUUUGCCAGUUUUUUUAAUGCCAUAAAUUAUGUCAGUCAAUUAAGUAGAUUUUUCUUCUCUCACACUUUUUGCUCCACCAGGGUAUGAAUAAUUCACAGAUUCCACCAAGCUGAAAGCACCAGCUGGACUUCUUGAGUGUUUAGUUUCUUUCUUAUCUAUUCAGUUAAAGUGAUAAAGCUUCGGUGAGCAAGCUCGUGCAUCUCAGUCUUCAAUGACAGAGGUCAAGGAGUUAACCUUCAGAGACCUGAGGUCUGCAUGAAGCACCAUCAGUGCCAUCAGGAUACAUGGCCUCUGCGCUGCCGCACAGCUGGGGAACAGAGGAUCAGGCUGAAGUGCAUGUGUGUAUGUGGGUUUAUGAUUGCACAUCUGUAGGAGCUUGUGAGAGACUACCUUCAUAGUAAUAUGUGAGGGUCAUGUAAUGCAGCCAGACAUGAGUGAUGGUUGAGAUAUUGCUGCUGGAGCACUCAAAUGCAUAGGAAGUUUUUGGCUAUUUAAAGUUAAAUGGAUGAAUGGCUACACAGAUUCUUUGUGGAUAAAUAAAUGUAUACAUAAAAAUAAAAAAACGCAUAGGUCUGUAUGUUCAAAGUAAUAAACGUUGCUAGACUAAUACCAGAUUCCAAAUUUAGUUUGUGGUGGAAAAAAUGUGACAAUUAAAAAAACUGAGUUUGAUUUGCUUGUGACUGCAGAAACAAAACUCUGCAUUAAAGAAAGCACUUUUACAAACUAUUUACAUUGUAAAGUGGCUCCAUAAAAAAAUUAAAGUGCUUUAAACAAAUUUCUUCUCUACCUUUCAAACCUUUUUAAAAUUCUUUGUUAAUCUGUAAAAGUGUAUGCCAAUAUGCAUCAGGGACAACGUAAAUUAAGAUUUACGUCAGAUCACCUCAGUUUGUAAGGCCAGGAAUAGACAGUCGACUAAACAAAUUACAAAUUUCUUUAUUCCAUCCAAUCUGAUUUUGUUUAUUGCUGAAAUUGCUGUUUUAUUGUUUUGCAUAAAAAUCAAGACAUCAAUGUGAUUACGCACAUUGAAGGACAUCCGUCAUGUUGGGGCGAAGACAUUUCAGCUUGAACUUUUAUAUUGCUCCCUGUAGCGCCCUUAAUCUAGGAGGAAAUCAAUACAGCUUUUACUGACACAUUGAAAGGGUGGAGUAUUGAUGCUCAGAUGUCAUUUUGAGGAGGAUUUGAUGUUUCUGUUUUCUCUCUAGAAGCGGAGCUCAGUGAUUGAAAGCUUGGGGCAGUUUUUGGGAAAAAUCAGUAUAAAAAUGUCAUUGUCUCUAAUGAUUACGA